CAAAGUUCAAGUACUUUGUCUAUACUCUCUAACGCGUAAGACAAACCCUAACGCCUAAACCUAACGCCUCUUGUCGACUUCAAGCAGUCCAGCACCAGUAGUACCCUAACGCCUCUCCCUCUCGCCAUAGCCAGAGCACCAGUCAGCAGAUGUGACUCAUACAUGACUAAAAAUAUACAAAGUGAUAAGGUGAUGAUGGUUGAAAGUGGGGCUUCUAAUUCAAAUGCAAUAAUUAAAAUAACAUAUUAGUGUUGAGGAAGAUCUUGAAAAUAGAGCAGCUUGAACAAGAUUUAGCCAACAAUGGAAAAGACCCUUCCGUAAUUGACGUGUAGUGUUAAUAUAUCUGGAGAAGAAGUAGAGAUGGAACUGGACAAUGUAGCAUAGGAACAGUUGAAGAAAACAGUUUCAUGGCAAUAACACUCGACAAUUGCGUGUUAGCCUACAAUGUAUGAGAAAUGCCAAAUUACAAAUGUGUUCAUUUUAAUACUCUACUUUGGGUUUGGGAUGUAUUGUGCGUACAAUUUACAUAUGCGUUCUACUUUUUUAACUCAUUCUUAGUUUCGAUUUUUGUACGUAGACUCAAUGUGUAAUUUCGAUUUCUGAAUUUGUA